UACGUAAGGUGCAAGCGUUGUCCGGAAUUAUUGGGCGUAAAGAGCUCGUAGGCGGUGUGUCGCGUCUGCUGUGAAAACUCAGGGCUCAACUCUGAGCUUGCAGUGGGUACGGGCACACUAGAGUGCUGUAGGGGAGACUGGAAUUCCUGGUGUAGCGGUGAAAUGCGCAGAUAUCAGGAGGAACACCGAUGGCGAAGGCAGGUCUCUGGGCCGAUACUGACGCUGAGGAGCGAAAGCGUGGGGAGCGAACAGG
rnacentral:rRNA from 1 species